rnacentral:lncRNA from 10 species
CCGGGAUGCACUAGGCAAAGCCAGCUGGGCUCCUGAGUCCGGUGGGUACUUGGAGAACUUAUUACGUCUAGCUGGAGGAUUGUAAAUGCACCAAUCAGCAUGCUGUGUCUAGCUCAAGAGAGCAGUCAUGAUGGCCUGCACUCCACACAAUGCAACAGAGUGAAGGAGCAGGUUCUGGUUCUUUGGUGUAGUCCUGAAGCUUCCUAAGAAAGUUCACAUCAGGUGAUGGAUAGGAGCAACCCUGUAAAACCAGCCUUAGACUAUUUUUCAAACAG